rnacentral:tRNA from 1 species
GGGGGUGUAGCUCAGACCGGUUAGAGCGCCUGCCUGUCACGUAGGAGGCCGCGAGUUCAAGUCUCGUCAUCCCCG